UUGCAAAGAAGUCAAAAGAGCUCCAGCAACACUUGUAGUUCAGGAAAACAGCUUUAUUCCACCAACACAUUUCAAAUGAAUAAAGAUGUUUUCCUGAACUACAAGUGUUGCUGGAGCUCUUUGGACCUCCUUAAGAUCCUUUUUC